CGAGCCUCCACACCACAUGGUUAGCUGUCUUCUUAGGAUUUAUCUUUUAAAUCAUCACCUGACAUCGUCUUCUACCGCUGUGUUAUCGUACAUGUUUGUAUCCUAUGUCGAAACUCAACAUCUUACGAUGCCCGCAUUUUUAAAAUGGUCGAUUUAAAACGAUCUCGUCGCUGUUUUUUAAUCACCCACGUGCGUGUUAGGUGACGGUGGCUAGCAGCGUAGCUAGCCACCGUACGUGACUUCGGGCGAUAUUUAACCGUACAGUUCAGGUAAAGUCAAGUAAUGAAAUGUAAUAUCUAUGUGCUGAAAUGUAUAGUGUUGUUAGUAUGGCUAGGCCGCAGCCGACUGAGCCAAUGACUUAUUUUUUUUCGGCAUGUUAGCAUAGCAUGCUAGCCAGAUUGCAAGAGCUUUCGGGAAGAUGCAGUUCCGUGUCACGUGACCUUGUUUUUCUGAAUGAAGACCGGAGGACCGACGCUGCGUCACACACGCCAACGAGCGGAGGCAGAGCUGAACAUAAAAGAGAAGUUGGAGUUUUCUGACCUACGACGGCUGCUUGUUUUGAAAUAGGCUAGCCCACCGUGGUGAACUUAGCUGCCCCGAAGGCUAACUCCAGACUGUCGGACCGCACCCUGUCAGCGUCCCGACUGGUGAGGGGUCACAUUACUGGGAAAGUACUAUCAGUGUCAAGCAACAUCAGUGACGGGUAAGAUGCGCAGCAUCGAAAACAACAGCUACAUUUUAGUAGUGACGCAGAUAAUGCAAAGGGGCUGGAGAAGCACCUGACACACGGAAAAGCACCAAGGCGAUUAAUGCUUGAUAAGCUCACUGGAGCUUUUGUCAGCAUGUGACUGAUGAGAUGCAGCCAGAGAAGAGGGAAAAUAUCUACCUCAUUUGCACUCAGGGUUCAUGACUCCUGGGACCAGCUGACAGACAUCCAGCCAAACGCAUUGUGAACAGGAGAGAUGACCUGUGGCAACCAGCUGCUCAAAAAUCUGCUGUUUUUCUCCCUGAUCUCUUCGGUCUGUGGAACGUUUGAAGUGAAUGCGACACAGACCUCCUAUCAGGCAGAGGAGAACGAGGACAUCACACUGGAAUUUCUGUUCACAACCAAAGCUGACACUUCCCCCGAACCCAUUGAAAUUCUGUGUGAACUGUUAGCUGACGACGAGCCCUUAAAAGUGUUUCAUCUGUAUGACGGUGCAGACUUCCUCUGGUCUCAGAAUAAACAGUUUGCAGGACGAGUCCAGUACGACAAAGACCUCCUCAGAGAAGGACGACUCAUACUGAAUGUGUCCAGACUGAGAACUCGUGACUCUGGCCGGUACCUUUGUACAGUAGUCACAAGUUCUGGGAGCAACACUGGGAGAUGCUCGCUCAAUGUCACUGCAGCGAGGCAUUUGCUUGAACCUGAGACACCGAGCACAAGUCAACCACAACCACAGAGUCGAGGAAGGUACGGCCUCUACGGGGCACUGGGACUGGCAGGAGUAGCUCUACUGUUUGUUUGUUUCCGUAUAUACAGACAGUCGUGGUUGAUUGAAAAGAUUCAAUCAGCCACUCCAAACCAACAAGAUUUGCCGGAAGACUAUGAAGACCAUUCAAACAUUUGCACUAUGCCUGAAGAACAAGAAUUAGUCAUUCUCACUCUGCAGGAAGACAAUUCAAUUAUUUGCACGCUGCCUAAAGGUCAAGAUUCCCACUCAGAGAAAAGUUACAGUUCAGGGUAUGUAGGGGGAGAAACAGAUUCACAAAAUUAAAACUUGUGCACACCAAGAAAACUAGUUAUUCUGGCAGGGCUUGGUAUCGUCACUGAUUUCCUGAAUUGAUUUGAUUUUGAUUUUUCAAUUGGGUGGGUAAUGCCGAAAAAUUUCACACCUUUAUUUUGUUCGGUUCACUUUCACACUGCACUUUUUAAAGCAAACCAAACUGCCUGCACACUGUCAUGCAGUAUUGCCCGAAACGACCACUGAUCAGGAAAAAAAAAAGCACGAGGAAGAAAAGAAAAAAAAAACCACGGCUCAUCGAUUGGCCAGGACCGAAAUUGGAAAUCCAUCCCCUUCAGCCGGCAGAUAGCAACUGCGUUAUAGUCCUCUGACCAUAUAUCAAUAAGCGCCUGCACCUCCUCACUACUCCACAUCUGCCCAUGAGACAUGUUCCAACUUUUUCUUUUGUUACCUCUGCUUCUCCCGGUCCGCGCUGUUGGUUUUGGGGUUUUUUCUGCCCAAAAUGCACUGCACUCUGCGUCACUUCCUCUCUUUGGUCCACUUCCUCUCUUUGGUUCGCUGGAUAGUCCGUUUGCAUUUCCUACUGUAAGCGAAUCGCACCAGGGUUCACUUGCAAGUAAACCGAGACCUCCAGUUUUCAAGCACACCGGGGUUUGCUCAUUUGGUCCGCACCACUCCAAACGAACGGGACUAUCCGUGGAAGCGGACCAGGGUACGUUUAAAGCGAACCAAUAGCGCCAGUGAGAAUGUGUCCUUUAAGACAAGUUUUAAGACCCGACACAAACUGACCUAAACCGCUAGACAUAAACAGUUGCUGGAAAGCACUCUGUGCUUGUUUAAAACAUGAUGUCAGUGGCGGUGGAUGAGAAACUGCGGACAGAGUAGACUGAAAUACCACUUUUUACAUGUUUACAUGUUGCUGAUCAGCUGUAUUGAUAAAGUAUUGACUUUUUCCUUGUGGAGGUUUUAUUGCACUCACAGUAACAAGCAUAGUUGUCAUCAGCUCAAGUUAUCUUCAGGUCUGUGUUACGUCCCGAUCUAGGGGUGUGGGUGCGUAACAUAAGGACACACAGAAACACGGGAGUAAAUGUACAGGUGAGCAAUUUAUUGCUACACACUCCAAAUACACACUGUACAAUAUCGCACACAAAAUGGAGCAAAAGACGUCAGGGUGAGCCCAGGCCAAAACAACAAACAAAAAGCAACCUGUCUACCGACUGGCGAAAUAACUAAUCCCUAACAAAAACAAAAGAAACAAAAAUACAAUACUAGGCCUAACUCCCGAGGCUAACGAAAAACAGGAGAAAACAGGUAUAACAAAAAUAGCAGCUCACCCCUACGCUCCGUGCAAACAAUAAUAUGUGACAAUGACUAUUUACAAUAUACACAAACGACUCAGUUGGCCCUAAGGCGCUGGUCUUAACAAAAGAAUUAAUUAUUUAGCAAGCAAGCUAAAUAAUCACACGUGGAUCACACAACAAAGUAUUUAUCAAUCACAAAACCAGAGAACGAUACAAUGUGCUGCUGCCACGUACGAGAGUGGUCUCUCGGCUUCCGUGUGGCCGGCAUUAUGAAGGCCGAGCCCCUUGCUCCACCAAUCCGGCAGCGGUGACGUCACGCUUGUUAUCCAGUAGGCGACCGUUGACACAGAAGGCCGAGCCCCUUGCUCAGCCAAACCCGCCGGAGCAACGUCACAAUCGUCCAGCAAAUCACCUGCACACCUGUAAUCACAACACACAUGAUCUCCGGACAGAAAGAGAGGUCUGACUCUCCACUAAACAUGGUGAUCAAAUCCAUAAACUACAUAGAUAUAAACACAUACACAUAAUACGUACACAGGCGGCCGGGGGACGUAACAGUCUGUCUCCACCGCGGCAUCUUUACUCCGUGUUUGUCCAAAACAUAACAGACACCUAACGGUUACAGAUAAAAGACCCGGUAACGUCGGAGCUCCUCAAUACUAUGGUUGUUAAUAAUAUAGCGCCACGGCCUGUUUACUACCGGCGAGAUUACCAGGGUCAAAGUUUGACACAUCCGUGGAAAAAGGCCUAUGUAUAAAGAUCAAUCUCGGAUUUUAUGAAUUGAUAUCAUGUCACUCAAAUGAAGAUCAAUUUGUUUUAUCAGUUAUUUUAACCCAGCCCUGUAUUGUAGUGAUGUAGUGUUACAACUAACAUGAAACAAGCGUAUCCCUCUGCACUGAACAAGUUAACAUAUCAAAGUCAACUUGUCUGCACAGAUAUCCGCCCUCUUAGUGUUCUAAAGAGUGAAGGUUACCUGAAUAUGAUGAAUAAAAUAAAAAUGUUAGGGGGAAAUGGGGCUAUAGAGGGCCACUUAAUUGUACAUAACUGUAACAGUGCAUCAUGUAAUGGCUGAGUGGAAGCUGGACUUUCAUGUGCUACGAUCAAGAGCGAUGCAUGAUAGCCACACAGGAGAGAGCAUUGAAGUGUUACUAAAGGAGGCCGGUACUGAGUGUAGAUUGGCGGCAAAAGAUCCCACAUUGUAACAGACAAUGCAUCCAAUAUGAACUUUGUGGCUGGACUGAGAGACUUGACCCACGUAUAGUGUUUUAAACACAGCCUGAAUCUGACCUCAUAGAGAGCACUGGAAUUGUUAACAGUGGCGAGACUACUCGGCAGUCACUGCCUUUUUUGGACGCAACACCAUAGCCAGCCACCAGCUAAAGCCCAAACAGGACCUGCUCCAGCUUCCAGGACCCAGGUCAGUCACAAGAUGGGCCAGCUCAGAUGACAUGAUUUUUAGAGCAAUGACAAGUCACCUAUGCACAAUCAUGUCAGCAGAGGCCCAGAAAGACUGAAAAGGAUAUCUUAACACUGAGCCUGGCUGACAUCACACGUGCCAAGGAAGUGCUCCAGGCACGCCAAUGAAGGAUGCCACUUUGGUAAUGUCACUGGAGAGCACGCCCAUUCUGUCUAAAAUUGCACCACUUCAUGCCAAGCUGGUCACAAGCACAGAAGGAAGCCUGGAUGACACAGACAGUGAAGGACAUCAGAGCUGCGUCAGCACAAGAUCUGGGGAAGAGAGAUGCCAGUGAGAGGAAGACACUGUGCCUGGUAUCAGCUCUCGAUGCUUAAGGAUCUACUCUUUCUCUCUGAAGCAGAGACCAGUGAGACCUCCUCCAGCCUGAUUGAUGCUGUGGUGGCGGCCAUGAAGAAGCUACAGAAUCGACAAGAGGAGGUAGACAGUCCAGUUGAGGAGAAGACUCGUCUGAGGUUUGUCACCCACCUAACUAUGAAGAUAGCCCUACCAUUGCCACCCAGCCACCCAUGAAGAGACAAAGGAGCACCUGUGCAUUGACUUGAAGUGACAUUUGCCAAAAAAUCUGCACAUGAUGCUGCUGCAGCUGAGACCAAGAGGUUUAGAGAAGAAAAACCUUUGCCACCCCUUGAAAAUCCUCUCAGUUGAUGGGAGGAACACAGACUUCAGUGCCUUCAGCUACUCAGAGUAGCAAAGUGCUUCCUGUGCAAUCCUACUACAAGUGUCUGGACAGAUUUCUCCACCGCAGGAGACUACACGUAACUACACAAGGGAGAGUCCUGAAAGCUCAGCAUGUUGACCCAAUUGUCUUCGUCCACAAAAACCUUGACAGUAAAUCAUAAGCACUGGCAUUCAUACAAACUGGAGUAAUGUAAGAACCAAGUUGAAAUAAUGAAAGAUUGUUUAGCACCGCAAUAUAGCAUUAUAUUAACUUAUUAACGUACCUUUGUUUUUCUUUUCUUUCUGCAAGCACUUUUAUCUUUCAUUUCAUUCAAAUAGGCAGAUGCAAUUCCAUUGUUCAAACUGAACAAAACACAGUGUUACUACAUAACAUAGAGAAAGCUGUUCAGCACUCAGAGUGGGAAACACAUGUCCACAAUGAGCUACAUUCCAAUACAACAACCCACCCACAGAUAAACAUGGCAUUAAAAAGCAAUACAUGUACAUACAUUCUUUUAAAAACCGAUUUCAGUGUGCUAAAAACAACAAUGGCCUUAUUUAGAGAGGAUAUCUCACAGACACCUUACAUCUCUUAAAGGCUUGUGGAUUCUGCACAUCCUUUAUUACAGGAGGCAGCUGGUUCUGCUCCGUAGCACCAAUGUGAAGAGAAGACACCAUACACAUCGUGGUUUUGAAUCUAUGGAUGUUAGAGGGACCAUGCAAAAUAGUCUUAUGACAUUAAAUCCUGGACUAUGCAAUGGGAUAGGACAAAAUAUUGCUUUGGGAAUACGAUUUACUCCAUUUUUUUGUGAAUUGUGUGUGAUUUUUUUUUUUUUUUUAUUUAACCUUUGUUUCACGUUGAGAUUGAAAAUCUCACCUGGCCAAAAUCGUCCUGUGCACCUUUUUACAGCAGUGCCUUCAGUGCUGCCAAAUUGUUGACUUUCUAGCUAGAUUUUUUUUUUUUUCACUUUCAGACCCUCUCAUGCCUUUCUUUCUAAAAAAAAUAACCCACUGCCUCCGCAGGCAAAUGGACCUGCACUUGUAUAGUGCCUUUCUAGUCAUUCAACCAUUCAAAUCACGUAAAGACUACAUGUCCAUCAGGGAGCAUCAGUAUCUUGCCCAAGGAUACUUCGAUGUGCCAUCGAGGUACAGCCUAUUGAGCUAUCAUCACGUUACAAGUGUGGAGCUCUCUGGAUGGCUGCUGACAUUUGAGGCUAUGAGGCAUAACCCAAAUGUGUCUAUAGGUGUAACUGGAUAGGCAGCUUCUCCCUGCAGAUUCUGACAGUGCCAAAGAAGUAACCAAUGUUCUAGACGCUUUCAAACUAACAGCAAAAACACUCUAAAUGGGUCUCUUUGUAUUUUGACAAUGAAUGUUUGUUGUUGCAGUAACUGAGAGAUUAUCAGAGACCCAAGCCAUUGCCCUAGCAACAGAAUAGCAAGUAGUGUUGAUCAUUGCUGAUAUCAUCCACACUCCCAUAAACUGUCAUAGGACACUAAAGUAAAACACAUGGUAAAAACGAUUGAACCCUGCCAAUAUGCACCUUGAUGUGUGCACAUUAAUCAGUCCGUUGUGCCUGCUCUGUAUCAAGGAGCACCAGCUGCUGUCCAGGAGUGAACCGCUCAUGCUUUAAAGAUAGAUAGUUAGUUUAUAUUGCUGAAAUGUAUUUAUUUAAUGCAAAAAAUGCCUGUUUGAAACAGGCGAUUGCUUGGUCUGUUGUAUUGCUGCUGUGCUUUCUUGAGAACCGCUCAUACAAACUGCUUCACACUCCACGCUGCCCUUCUUUGGGUCCGUAGCAAUACACCUGGGCCCCACAUAGCUAUAGAUUCAUUGUGAUGUACUGAUGUGAAGAACAAAUUGUAUGUCGAAACGGGUCCCCAGCAAUACACCUGGGGAGUGUGAAGUAGAUCGGAUGAAUGGUUGUUUCGGGACAUGCAAAGAUUAGACUACAGCAUGUAAAUAUUUGAGUGUUUCUGCAGAUAGAGUUAGUAGAAUUAUAUUUAAAGUUUAUGAAAAUGCACUGUAUUUUUUAAAGUUCAAUAAAUCUGGUUAUUUUCAAAGUCUA